rnacentral:lncRNA from 1 species
GAGCACAUGCUUGAUGUGGGUGGGCUGUGGUUUUGCAGGUGCAACCCGAGCGCUUGCUUUCUGUUUGUGUUUGCAGGUUUUGCAGGAAGUUGUGGAGAGGCACAGAUGAGCGUUGACAAGAGCCUGAGCAGGUACUGCGUGGGCCUUUCCCAGGCAUGGCUGAGGAUGUCAGGUGAGCAGAUUCCUGAUGGGUGUUGUGGGGUUGGUGAGUAUUGCCUGGCAGAAGAGUCACUUUGUUUUGCUUUUUCCCAGUGCUGCUGGUGUCCCCCCCAGGCACAAUGUUGGAGUCUGGGAUUGGUGCGGUGCAGGUGAUGAAGGUGAAUGUGGUGACCAGAGGAAGAUUAGAGAGGAUGCAGCUGCCAUUGAGGAUGCCUCUUGAAGACAGAUGGUGACCCAGAGCACUGUAGAAGCUAAGUUGAGAGGCCAUGGGUGUUGGUGUGUCUUGACUCUGUGUGUGUGUGUGUGUGUGUGUGUGUGUGUGCAUGUGUGUGCUGACAGUGAGUGUAGAGUGGAGGGCUCUUCUGGAUGAGUGCUUUGUAUGAGGCAGAGGCAGUGGGGUGUGCCUGGCAGAAGGUGAG